rnacentral:rRNA from 1 species
GGAUUAGAUACCCUGGUAGUCCACGCCGUAAACGAUGUCGACUUGGAGGUUGUGCCCUUGAGGCGUGGCUUCCGGAGCUAACGCGUUAAGUCGACCGCCUGGGGAGUACGGCCGCAAGGUUAAAACUCAAAUGAAUUGACGGGGGCCCGCACAAGCGGUGGAGCAUGUGGUUUAAUUCGAUGCAACGCGAAGAACCUUACCUACUCUUGACAUCCAGAGAACUUUCCAGAGAUGGAUUGGUGCCUUCGGGAACUCUGAGACAGGUGCUGCAUGGCUGUCGUCAGCUCGUGCCG